AUUGAACGCUGGCGGCAGGCCUAACACAUGCAAGUCGAGCGGUAACAGGGGGUGCUUGCACCCCGCUGACGAGCGGCGGACGGGUGAGUAAUGCAUAGGAAUCUGCCCGAUAGUGGGGGAUAACCUGGGGAAACCCAGGCUAAUACCGCAUACGUCCUACGGGAGAAAGGGGGCUCCGGCUCCCGCUAUCGGAUGAGCCUAUUUCGGAUUAGCUAGUUGGGGAGGUAAAGGCUCACCAAGGCGACGAUCCGUAGCUGGUCUGAGAGGAUGAUCAGCCACAUCGGGACUGAGACACGGCCCGAACUCCUACGGGAGGCAGCAGUGGGGAAUAUUGGACAAUGGGGGGAACCCUGAUCCAGCCAUGCCGCGUGUGUGAAGAAGGCCCUCGGGUUGUAAAGCACUUUCAGUGAGGAAGAACGCCUGGUGGUUAAUACCCAUCAGGAAAGACGUCACUCACAGAAGAAGCACCGGCUAACUCCGUGCCAGCAGCCGCGGUAA
rnacentral:rRNA from 1 species